ACUGGGAUGGCUAAGUGGUUAAGGCAUUGGGCUUAAGAUCCAAUGAAUGUAUGUCCACGUGGGUUCGAACCCCACUCCCAGUA